rnacentral:rRNA from 1 species
CCCUUAGAUGUUCUGGGCUGCACGCGCGCUACACUGAAGCGUUCAACGAGUAUUCACCUUGCCCGGGAGGGUUGGGUAAUCUUUUCAAAACGCUUCGUGAUGGGGAUAGAUUAUUGCAAUUAUUAAUCUUCAACGAGGAAUGCCUAGUAGGCGCAAGUCAUCAGCUUGCGUCGAUUACGUCCCUGCCCUUUGUACACACCGCCCGUCGCUCCUACCGAUUGGGUGUGCUGGUGAAAUGUUCGGAUCGGCCGUUUGUCGCGGUUUCCGCGUCAUGUGGCUGAGAAGUUCAUUAAACCCUCCCACCUAGAGGAAGGAGAAGUCGUAACA